rnacentral:rRNA from 1 species
CACCGCCCGUCACAUCAUGAAAGCCGUUUGUACCCGAAGUCCACGUGCUAACCGCAAGGAGGCAGUGGCCGAAGGUAUGGAUGGUGAUUGGGAUG